GCGCCUGUAGCUCAGCCUGGAUAGAGCAUCAGCUUGCGGAGCUGGGGGUCGUGGGUUCAAAUCCCACCGGGCGCACCA
rnacentral:tRNA from 1 species